CUCAAAGGUUGGAUAUAUGUUUCUUGUGUGAUUCAAAUUAACAUUUUGCAAAGAUAAAUGCUAAACUUUUAAGUUAUUUUUUGUUAUGAAGGAUUUUAAUUUGUACUAAGCAUAACGAUAUCAACAGUGUGUUUGAAAUUCUCUGCACAACAAUUGAUGAAAGACAAGCAAAGAUGAACAUCUUACAUAGCGUCAACAACACUUCGUUACCCGAACUGUAUAAUGACACAGAUUUGAAAACUGUCAUUGUUUAUGAAGCAGCACUAGCUACAGUAUUGACGAUUUGUGUUAUUUCAUCGUGUUUAUUCAAUAUAAUAAUUAUAAUUGUGUUUAUGAGAUUCAAAUGCCUGCGGACAAAACAUGAUAUGCUUGUCAUUAACCUUGCAUUUACAAAUCUAAUUAUAACUGUGGGAAUUUCGUUUUAUUCUACUUAUACAAUAGAACCAGGAGAUAUUUUUCACCAGAAAGUCGUGUGUAUGGGCUUGUUUAUAUGUAUAUUUGGAGGAAUACUCACGUCCUUAUUGGUGCUUCUACUUCUGAGUCUUGAGCGAUUUUUGUGCAUCGUCUACCCUCACUUUCAUGGCCGGAUCCGAAUUCGCCAUGUUAUAUUGUGCAGCAUCCUUGCAUACCUGGUAGGUCUGUCAUAUGCCAUUAUUCCAUUCAUAUUAAAGAAUAACUGGGACCGUUAUCAUCUUUGUGUGUUGGAUGUGUUUCCGUUUGAAUUCAGUAUUGCAGAACAGGUUAGUGGCAUCGUUAUUAUAACGACAAUUGUAACAAUUAAUGUUAUUGUUUACAAAACAGCUCUUUCUCAAGCGGCUAAAAUAAAUGUUUUACUUAAAAACGUACAGCAUAGGCACACAAGAAGCCGUAAAUUAAGACAAAAGGGGAAAGCUUUUGUGACUGUCUUUCUAUUGUCGGGUAUAUCAGCUGUAUGUUGGAUUCCUUUACUGGUAGUUUUCGCAUUAGAAUCAGACCCCAAUUUACCGGAGAAAUUUAGAUGGAUAUUCACUCAGUUACUGUACGUUCCGGUAGCGGUGAAUUCUUCUGUCACUGCCAUUAUUAUUGGACAUAGAAACAGGCAUUUCAGAGAUGCUAUUAAAUCUAUGUAUUGCAGAAAACAACACGAAUGUAUUCAGAACAGUACGUAUACCUUCUGAUUGAUAGUUAUUAUAUCACAGAAGUUAGCAGGGUUUUAGGUUUUGUGACUAUGUAUUCAAAUAUAUAUAUAUAAAUAAAUAAAAUGUUUGUUUAUAGAUACGAAAAAUAAUAGAGGGGUAACGUUAAUGAAACAGAACAAACAAAAUAUCAACCAAAAUAUACAUCUUUAACAGAUGACACUCAGAAACGGGCAAGCACUAAUGCAAGAUGACAAGCUGUCAGUAAGUAGUUAACUCCGUAAAACAUUGUAACUCUCUCCCGUUAAACCGUACUGAUUUUCAGUGAAUAUCAUUAUGGCUUAAUACUGAAGAGUAUUGCAACUCUCUCCGUUAGACCGACCUGACUGUUCAAUGAAUAUCCAAGCUUAUGGUUUUAUAUUCAAGAACGUUAAACUCUCUCCGUCAGAUUGUCCUGACUGUUUAGAAAUUAUCUUUUUUGUUUUAAAAUGGCGAACUAUUUAAAUAUCUCUGUUAGUCUUAAUUGUCUAUUAAGUGAAUAUCCUUAUGAUUUUAAACUAAAAACGUUGCAACUCUCUUUCAUAGACCGACCUGGAUGUUCAUUAAAUAUGCUUUUGGUUUCGUAAUGUAAAACUUUUGAACCCUCUCUGUAAGGCAUAUCCCAUUGUUCAGUGAAUAUCAUUAUGGUGUCAUAUUGAUAAACGUUGUAAAUCGCUCCUUUAGGCCGUACAGACUGUUUAGUGAAUACCGUAUAGCGGGUUAUGUUUUUGGGUGUUAAAUUUCGCAAUUUAGGGACAACAAAGUAAAAGAAUAAUUUUGGCGGUUUUUAUUUUGGCGAAUUCUUUAAUCGGAUAUUAAAAUUGGUUGCAGUUAAAAAGUUGUAAAAAUUGACAAACAAGUACCUUGUUAUGGUUAAAUGAUUGUUUUACCCGCGAGAAGUCUAAUUCAUUGAUUAUAUUUUGAUAGAGUUCAUCAAAAGAAUACCGGCACUAAAUUAUUUGUAUACAGAUGGCCCGAGAACAUAGUUUUUUGGUAGAGCAUUUUUUUAUACGAUAAGUUCAAAGUAUAAAAAAAAAUCGCACCUGGUCUAUCUCAAAAAGUUUUUUUAUUGUGUAGUGUACCACAAUUGCGACAAGUAAGAUUAAAAUUAUAAAAAGGUCAGCUAGCUCUAACUUAAAAUAUGGACAAUUCAAUGCUAAGUGGGUCUAAAAUAGAGUUUGACAGUUUCAGAGAUACUAAUGUUUGACCUUUUUUUAACUAGACCACUUCUUAACAUAAAGAAUCAGCACCCAAACGUUUCAAAUAAAGGCAACAGUAGUAUACCGCUGUUCGAAGUUCAUAAAUUGAUUGACGUAUAAUUUCAUCUCUUACUCAAUAUUCGUGAGUGAAAUAUCAAGAAAUAAAUUGGGACAAUGAAAAAUAUUUGCAAGUUAUCCACUGUUUACACCAGGUUUUAUAUUCGUACAAACUUUGUAAAAAAUAUUAGGACUGGUAGCUACGAAUUGACCGGACUUGAUGUAUAAUAUAGAUUAUAAAAAUUAUCAUGAGUGACUUACAACUUUUAGAAAAAUUAACACUUAUGAAUAAGGAUAAAAAAAAACUUGACAAAGCACCUUACACUCUUAAACAUAAAUCAUUUUAUUAUGUAACUAAUAAACUAAUUAACAUCUGACAGUCAGUGAACUAUGAUCUUUUGCAUUUAUGUUGUUCAAAUUCACAUAAACCAUUAUAGGUCCAACGAACGGGUAAAAUAGUUUGCAAAACUCUCUAUAGUUAUUAGAAAGAAUCGAUUCAACUUUCGCAGAAUUUAAUUUCGCGAUUUCCCCUUACCUGCCAAAUAAGCAAAAAUAAAUUAAAAAAAAAUAACCCGCUAAAAGGUGUCAUUUUGGUUUUAAACUAUAAAACGUUUUAACUCUCUCCGUUUGACCGUCCUGACUGCUCAUUGGACAUCCUUAUAGUUUUAUACUGUAAAACAUUGAAACUCUCUCAGUUAGAAAGAUUUGUUCAAUGAAUAUCCUUUUGGUGUUAUACUUCAAAACAUUUUUAAUCUCUCCGUGAGACCGUACUGACUGUUCAUUGAUUAUAAUUUUUGUUUUUUGUUUUUUUUUAUUUUAAAUAAAGGUAGCAGUAGUAUACCUGUGUACAAAAGUCAUAAAUGGAUUGGGAGAAAAACGAAUCUUGAUUAACAACCAAAACCGAGGGAAACACAUGAGCUAUAAGAGGAUAACAAAGGAACAACAGGAACACCGAAGUGCAACAAAACUAAACGCCCACACACAUAGAAACUAACUAUUUGAUAACAACUGCCAC
rnacentral:lncRNA from 1 species